AUUGAACGCUGGCGGCAGGCCUAACACAUGUAAGUCGAACGAGUGGCGGACGGGUGAGUAAUGUCUGGGAAACUGCCCGAUGGAGGGGGAUAACUACUGGAAACGGUAGCUAAUACCGCAUACCAUCGGAUGUGCCCAUAUGGGAUUAGCUAGUGGGUGGGGUAACGGCUCACCUAGGCGACGAUCCCUAGCUGGUCUGAGAGGAGGACCAGCCACACUGGGACUGAGACACGGUCAAGACUCCUACGGGAGGCAGCAGUGGGGAAUAUUGGACAAUGGGCGAAAGCCUGAUGCAGCAAUGCCGCGUGUAUGAAGAAGGCCUUCGGGUUGUAAAGUACUGUCGGCGGAGAAGCGGUAUUUGCAGAAGAAGCACCGGCUAACUACGUGCCAGCAGCCGCGGUAAUUC
rnacentral:rRNA from 1 species